GUGAGGAAUAUUGCGCAAUGGAGGCAACUCUGACGCAGCCAUGCCGCGUGCAGGAAGAAGGCGCUACGCGUUGUAAACUGCUUUUAACCGGGAAGAAACCCCAGGACGUGUCCUGGGUUGACGGUACCGGAGGAAUAAGCACCGGCUAACUUCGUGCCAGCAGCCGCGGUAAUACGAAGGGUGCAAGCGUUAUCCGGAUUCAUUGGGUUUAAAGGGUGCGUAGGCGGAGCGUUAAGUCAGUGGUGAAAUCCUGCAGCUUAACUGUAGACUUGCCAUUGAUACUGGCGCUCUUGAGUGCGCUUGAAGUGGGCGGAAUGUGCCGUGUAGCGGUGAAAUGCUUAGAUAUGGCACAGAACACCAAUUGCGAAGGCAGCUCACUAAGGCGAUACUGACGCUGAGGCACGAAAGCGUGGGGAUCGUACAGGAUUAGAAACCCGGGUAGUCC
rnacentral:rRNA from 1 species